AAUAUCACGCCGGGUAUGCGAAUACUUCGUUUACGGAUGGCACUUCACUUACAGAGAACAACAAACGCCACGCGCGAGAGCAACUGUUCACGACACUAUACAAUCCAGCGGACAAGAUUCGAAGGUGGCAAACUACGAUCCGAAGUCACCGACAACACCCGUGACAUCAUCAGCGGGUAUCACAGAGUUUGUGACGUCACUAGUGACAUCAGAAACUAACGGUGUCGUUGAUUUAACCACUAGCGCAGCAAACAAAUCAUCUGAUUUGCACUAUUCCACCAGCGACACUAAAGUCGUGUCAAUGGUAGUCAGAUCGCCUAAUUAGGAUGUAAAACCCCACCCAACGCCCCUCAACCCAUCCCCAUCUACCAGAAUAACAGUUCAUAUUAACUUUUGGUGCAUACUAAUUACCGCAGAACCUAAGGACAUAAUGCAGUGUAAUUUGUUUGCAUACCGUUUAGUGUUUGUGCAAUGCUUUAUGUGUAUGUUCAAUUUAAUGCUGAAUAUGGUUAAUCAUACCCCUUUUUAUUUAGGCCUAUCAUGUAUUUGUGUGAAAUUGCAUAAGAUCAAAACUGUAAUGAUGGGCAUUCAGUGGGUGUUUUCUCCAGAUAAACCAGUGAUGGAAGAGAAAAUCCUCAUAGAGCUUAUCAACGUGUGUGUUACGUGGUAACGGCGUUUGUGGUCACCGUCAUUUUCUGCUGCAGAAUCAAACGGUAUCCCCUCCUUUCGCAUUUCGAAGCUUAUGUUGCCCUUCCGCACCUUGGUACUGAAUAUAUCUGUUUCAUUUUAGCCAUACAUUCUUACACUUGAUUAUAAUAAUGUAUCUUAAACACACACAUGCGUUAUAUUUUAAUGUAACUGCGCUUCAAAAUGUCAAGACUCUCGCGUCCAUGAACUGAAUGACUAAUGCAAUCUAGUUACGUAAUAUCAGAAGGAAAAGGCGCACAGCUUGUUGAUUCGUUUUGCCUUUAGUUAAACAUCAAAAGUAACUGAUUAUUAUUUUGCGGCUAUUAUUAUUAUUAUACGAUAAAUUGGUUAGAAAUAUAUUAAUUCAAUGCUUGAAUGUAUUGAAAUGCAGGCACACAUGAAAUUGGUUUGCGAUUCAGUUGAACGAGAUUGAUCGUGUUAAUGUCCUAACUGCCUUUGACAUUCCUUUGACAUUUAUCAGAAGUGAAACGUCCAGAACGUAGUCCGCUAUGUACAUGAAGUGGCACUGUAAAGACUGGUAGUCAUGUAAAGCACACGUUUACAUGACACCUAGAGUUUCUUUCUUUAAAAUCAUAUAGCUGUAGGAUUAAAUCAGAAUUAUUGCGGGUGUACCUUACAAGAAACCGAACAAAGACCGCAGGUCAAACCUCUCCGACGGCUUAUCCGAAACGGAUGCAAUAACGGCUCGUCCUAGAACGGCACGGUCUCGGUCGUCCAUUAUAGAACGCGAAUACGACACGAUUUCAAAUUCCAAAGCGACGGAUAAAUCCAAACGCCAGGUGGCGGUGGUGAAGGCUUACAGUCACGUGGCAAUAGUCCCAUCCAAUCAGAGACGCGAGAGCAAUUCAAAUAUGGAAAAUGCAUACGACAUGUCCACUUUGAAUAAGCAAACGACCAUGACAAUAACACACCAGGGCGGUACUGGCAAUGUUAACGGUCAUCUGGGGGUUACAUAGCUGUACAUAGGUGACACAUUUUAUAUGCUUUAUAAUGUUGUUUUUUCCUCGUUUCUAAUACUUUGAAUUGUUAUCGAAUCUAUAUAAAUUUUAACUCAAACGGUUUGCGCAAACAUACACGCUUAUAUGUUGCAUGCAUAGUAUUUUCUAUUGAAUAUAUGCUAUUUGUUUCCAUAGAAGUUCUUCCUGUCUUUUUCUGAACUGAAAUAGUGAUACACUUUGUUAUACAUAUGAUCCCACAUUCAAUUUAACAUAAAGAUAUGGAAAUUUGUGAAUGUGGCAUCAGGUAAAAUAAAUACUGCUUCAUUUAUAAAAUGUAAUUGGAUAUUUUUGGAACGAUUUAAAUUUCUGCAGUAAUGAUAAUUGUUUAAGAUUCAUUAAGUGUUUACCUACACGUUUCCAAUAUGGCCUAGGCAUUUUCAAUACAGAAUAAACCUUUGUUUUGUGUGAA